rnacentral:misc_RNA from 1 species
CAGACAGAAAUAAAAACAUUUUACUUGUCUAUAGCCAAAAUGGCAGAAUCGGAUUGACAAGUCGUGCAAUUUUCGUAAUUUAUUUUUGGGUGCAAUAAUUAUUGCCUUUGUGCUUUUUAUGUUUUCCGUCUUACUUUAUAAGGCAUAAAAUAUAUAUUUUGCAUUGUGUUAAAAUAACUGUGCUUACCAUCAUCUCAUACGUAUGUUGCAAUUUCAUGAAAUAUCAAGCUUUGGUAUGAUAACAAAAGAUAUAAAAAUUCAGCCUUGUCUCGGUAUGUGCUCUUUUUCGUCAUGUGUGUACUGUCGGGAUUAACAUAGCAUGAGUGGUCACUGGCGCAAAGACUCGGGUAUGUAUACGUAACUGUCCAGAAUCGUGAUUUUCGGGAUUGUGACGUCACAAAAUAGACAAGACGUUAUUUACAGUGCAAAUUAGGUAAUAAAAUGUUUUAUUGUUUUCACCGGUGAGUGGCGAAAGAUUUGUGUCGCUCCCGUGAGGAUAGGAUUCGCGGCGAAGCGGUGGGCUUCCUCUAGGAUGGGCGGCGAUGUCUGCCCCCUCUGAGAGCGCAGCGAGCCCUGCACCGUGCGCAUGCACUAAUAUAUCGCUUAUGCAAUUGUUUCAUGAGCUCAAACAGAAAUUUCCCGGAGUACCUGAUCAUGUUGUUUCGAACACGAUCGAACUGUACUGUCACGAUAAGCAAGCCUGCGAGAAGCACCUCCACAGUGAAGUCAAGGCCUCCCUAACGCACGCCUACCAUGCCUCCUCGUCGGCAGCCGCGCGCCAGCUCAAUGAACUCAGGCUCAACCUGCCAAUCAAGUGCCGCAACCAGCCCAUAGUGAAGCAUGAAGCUGUCAAGUCCACAGCACUCAAAUCUGUCACUUGCGAUGGGCCCCAGCAAGCAAUACUGAGCACUGUUACUGAUGCACCUGAACAGCCUAAGGUGAACACUGAUGCCAACCAAAAUAUUGUUGAGACUAAAAAUGAGGAAACAAUUAGGAAUAACAACAACGUGUCUCCAGUCACUGUAAUAAACAUUGAUAACUGCUAUGCCAAAUACAGUGCGGAGUCUCCUAGCGACUUGGAACUAACUAACGAGAACUUGAAAGAAGAGAAAGUAAUACCACCGCAAGAAGAGAAGGUUCUUUCUCCAAAAGAGGAACAAAAAGAUCUAGAACAACCAGAAAGUACUAACUACAAGAUUUUAAAAAGUCAUAAAAUCAAAAACAACUUACAUGAAAGAUUAGAAAAGGGGAAAGAAAAGAAAACAAUCAAAAAAGAGGAACCGCAACCCAAACCAGUAAGCCCACAGGAGAAGCCCAAACGGCCCAACACAUUAGAUUUCAUUAAGCCGAAUCCAGAUAUUGCAUUUAAACAGACAUUAAAAGAACCAGAAGCUGAUACUUGUAGGACUGUGUCACCCGCACCAUCUGUGAUCAAAACCGAGCCUGUAAAAGAGAGCAAAACAAAUACAUUCAGGCCAGAGAGGGGAUAUCCCCUAAACUUGUCAGUUAAUGUCAAUUGUCAUAUGGACUUGAGCCGUGCUUAUGGUGAUCAUUGGUUAGAAGAUUAUGAUAGUCCAAGGGCUAUAACAUCUGUGAAUUUAACUGUUUGUACACCAACUUCAAAUAUGGCUAGUCCUGUGAGAGACACGCGGGAGGAUGAUGGGGGUUUUGAGGGCCACGUGACGGUGACGGUGAGCCCUAGCACUGCGCGUCCGCCGCGGCGUAGGGCGCCGCCACCGCCCGCGCACCCUUCGCGGAUCGACUCGCCCAGGCCUACCAGAGCCGCGCCUGAACCGCCUGGAUCAGUUACUGUUGAUCGUGCCUUGAUCGAGCGCCAGAAAGAAAGGCUGGAACGCCUAGCAAUGGCGCUAGCACAAGAGAAGGGCCGACUAACGCAGCUGACCAAGGAGACGCGGAUCCUGGCUGGACCCCCUCCCACCAUGUCGGCGACGCAGCGGCUAAGGGACGACGUGGAAAGGCUGCGAAACCAGUGCGGCACCCUCGCCAAGCGGCUGGAGAUGACUGGCCACGCUGGACGUCUAAAUGCUUCACAUGAUUAGUUGGUGAAAUUGCUCAUAGGCGCCAUGUUGACUAGACGUUCGGUGAGCCCGGGGGGAGUCCUCAAACUGGUGACACCCGCCACUAGGCUGGGGUAUUUUGAACCGGACGACGCCGGGAACUUCUACAGCAACAUCUACACGGGCCAGCGGCCCUCGUCCUCCUGGCAGUGCCAUAUGUGCACGUUCAGGAACCACCCGCUCCUCGACAAAUGCGAGGAGUGCGACAUGCCGCGGAUAUUC